rnacentral:rRNA from 1 species
GAACAUGGCUCAGGAUGAACGCUAGCUACAGGCUUAACACAUGCAAGUCGAGGGGCAGCAUGGUCUUAGCUUGCUAAGGCCGAUGGCGACCGGCGCACGGGUGAGUAACACGUAUCCAACCUGCCGUCUACUCUUGGACAGCCUUCUGAAAGGAAGAUUAAUACAAGAUGGCAUCAUGAGUCCGCAUGUUCACAUGAUUAAAGGUAUUCCGGUAGACGAUGGGGA